AGAGAGAGAGAGAGAGAGAGUGAUGGAAGAGAGAGGGAGGGAGAGAGUGAGUCGGCAACAUUCACCGAUCGACAAUCGAGUGUGUGGGACACUUUUCAGCU